GAUGAAGAACGCAGCGAAAUGCGAUACGUAGUGUGAAUUGCAGAAUUCAGUGAAUCAUCGAAUCUUUGAACGCACAUUGCACCUCUCGGUAUUCCGGGAGGUAUGCCUGUUCGAGCGUCAUUUGUACCCUCAAGCUCUGCUUGGUGUUGGGUGUUUGUUCCGCCUCUGUGUGUGAACUCGCCUCAAAACAAUUGGCAGCCGGCGUACUUGUUUCGGAGCGCAGCACAUUUUGCGAUCCAGAUCAACGUACAGCGGCAUCCAAGAAGCCUUAUUUAACGCUCUUGACCUCGGAUCAGGUAGGGAUACCCGCUGAACUUAAGCAUAUCAAAGCGGAGGA
rnacentral:misc_RNA from 1 species